AUAGGCUAUCUAGGUGCAGUUAAGGCGAGACCGAUAAAGCACUUGAAAAACGCAAGCACAUAUACGUAAGAAUGAAAAGUGCGCGAAUAUUCAGCAUAAUGAGUAUAGGCAUUGAGGAUGGGUUAUUUCCUAUGAUCUAAGUAGUAGCUUCUAGAUUUAAUCUCAUACGUAAAUUUAACGUCACAAUGCGCGUUUGAAGCAACAUUUGUUAUAAAAAUGAUGACAGGUUUUGCGUCAGAGAUGCCAAUCGUGUGCUUGAUUACUAUACCAUAAGUAAAAUGUGUAAAAUUUAUUUUAUUAGGAGAAAUAGUUUGGUAUGCAAGAUUUGCAAGAUAGAUGAUGGUGAAGACUGGUUGGGAUGUGAUUCAGAACAUAUUACAAGCAAGCUCAAUAACAAAGAAUAAUGUGCUUCACAAAGCGCGUUUGCAGUAACAUUCGUUAUAAAAAAGACCGCAUAUUAUGUAAAAUCCAAAUGAACAUAUAAUACAAUGUGGGCGCUGUGCU